rnacentral:rRNA from 1 species
UACAGAGGGUGCAAGCGUUGUUCGGAAUUAUUGGGCGUAAAGGGCGCGUAGGCGGUGCGGUAAGUCUGUAGUGAAAUCUCUGGGCUCAACUCAGAGUCUGCUGCAGAAACUGCCGUGCUUGAGUGUGGGAGAGGUGAGUGGAAUUCCCGGUGUAGCGGUGAGAUGCGUAGAUAUCGGGGAGGAACACCUGUGGCGAAAGCGGCUCACUGGACCACAACUGACGCUGAGGCGCGAAAGCU